UACGUAGGGUGCGAGCGUUGUCCGGAAUUAUUGGGCGUAAAGGGCUCGUAGGCGGUUUGUCGCGUCGGGAGUGAAAUCCACUGGCUUAACUGGUGGCUUGCUUUCGAUACGGGCAGACUGGAGGUAUGCAGGGGAGAACGGAAUUCCUGGUGUAGCGGUGAAAUGCGCAGAUAUCAUUUGGAACGCCAAUGGUGAAAACAGCUCGCUGGGAAUGAUCUGACACUGAGACGCGAAAGCCAGGGGAGCGAACGGG
rnacentral:rRNA from 1 species